GGCUCAGAACGAACGCUGGCGGCGCGUUUAAGCAUGCAAGUCGAGCGGCAAGGGCCUUCGGGCCCCUAGAGCGGCGGACGGGUGAGUAACACGUGGACAAUCCGUGCCCCCCGGCCCGGGAUAGCCCAGGGAAACCUGGAUUAAUACCGGAUGAGACGGGACCCGCGAUGGCGGGACCCGGGAAAGGCGCUGCGGCGCCGCCGGGGGAUGAGUCUGCGUCCCAUUAGCUAGACGGCGGGGUAACGGCCCACCGUGGCGACGAUGGGUAGCCGGCCUGAGAGGGUGGACGGCCACAUUGGAACUGAGACACGGUCCAGACUCCUACGGGAGGCAGCAGCUAAGAAUCUUCCGCAAUGGGCGAAAGCCUGACGGAGCCGACGCCGCGUGAACGAAGAAGGCCGUGAGGUUGUAAAGUUCUUUUCGGGAGGGGGAACAACCGUGGCAGGGAAUGGCCGCGGGAUGACGUGAAUCCCGGAAUAAGCCCCGGCUAACUACGUGCCAGCCGCCGC
rnacentral:rRNA from 1 species